rnacentral:rRNA from 1 species
AUUGAACGCUAGCGGGAUGCCUUCCACAUGCAAGUCGAACGGAGUGUCGAACGGGUGAGUAAUGUAUCGGAACGUGCCCACUAGCGGGGGAUACCUACGCGAAAGCGUAGCUAAUCCCUCAUACUAUUGGAGCGGCCGAUAUCGGAUAAGCUAGUUGGUGGGGUAACGGCUAACCAAGGUGACGAUCCGUAGCGGGUUUGAGAGGACGACCAGCCACACUGGGCCUAGGACACGGCCCAGCCGCCUACGGGAGGCAGCAGUGGGGAAUUUUGGACAAUGGGGGAAACCCUGAUCCAGCCAUCCCGCGUGUGCGAUGAAGGCCUUCGGGUUGUAAAGCACUUUUGGAAGGACAGCGGUACCUGCAGAAUAAGCACCGGCUAACUACGUGCCAGCAGCCGCGGUAAUUC